GUCAACUAGUUGUUGGGGAUUUACUUCCUUGGUAACGUAGCUAACGCGUGAAGUUGACCGCCUGGGGAGUACGGCCGCAAGGUUAAAACUCAAAGGAAUUGACGGGGACCCGCACAAGCGGUGGAUGAUGUGGAUUAAUUCGAUGCAACGCGAAAAACCUUACCUACCCUUGACAUGGCAGGAACUUUCCAGAGAUGGAUUGGUGCUCGAAAGAGAACCUGCACACAGGUGCUGCAUGGCUGUCGUCAGCUCGUGUCGUGAGAUGUUGGGUUAAGUCCCGCAACGAGCGCAACCCUUGUCAUUAGUUGCUACGAAAGGGCACUCUAAUGAGACUGCCGGUGACAAACCGGAGGAAGGUGGGGAUGACGUCAAGUCCUCAUGGCCCUUAUGGGUAGGGCUUCACACGUCAUACAAUGGUCGGUACAGAGGGUUGCCAAGCCGCGAGGUGGAGCCAAUCCCAGAAAACCGAUCGUAGUCCGGAUCGCAGUCUGCAACUCGACUGCGUGAAGUCGGAAUCGCUAGUAAUCGCGGAUCAGAAUGCUGCGGUGAAUACGUUCCCGGGUCUUGUACACACCGCCCGUCACACCAUGGGAGUGGGUUCUACCAGAAGUGGCUAGUCUAACCGCAAGGAGGACGGUCACCACGGUAGGAUUCAUGACUGGGGUGAAGUCGUAACAAGGUAGCCGUAAAGGG
rnacentral:rRNA from 1 species